CUGUUUGGCUAUGGGAGUUUUUUUUUUUUUUUUUUUAAAGACAGCAGCCUGUCAUUUCUGUGUGUCUCUGUAUGGGGCACGCGCUGGGCCGCCCGGAUUAUUGAAAUGUUUGCCUUGUCAACUUUGACUUUGGCUAGUUUUUGGACACUGGAUAUUAUACCGUUUCAUUUUGACAGAACCUAGCAAGCUACCAUUUGGAUUAAAAUACAUUUUACUGGACUGGACAUGGAUUGAAACUGGUCGCCGCUGGAUUAAGGCGUCGUUGACACACAUGUGAAAGAGUAGCUGUGAGAGGCCACAACUGAGUACAAACCAGACUUGAAAAGGAUUGUGGGAAACAAAGACUGCCAGGUGCCCCACUGAGUAAACAGAGAUGCUCAGUGAGGUCCUGUUAAACAGAUUAAGAAAGAUAGUAAAAGUCACCAAGCAUGAGGAAUCCCCUCUUCUCACAUGGAAGGCCCAGGGAAAUGUGGAAUCCACACACAGAACAACAAAGAAGCAGCGCAGACUCUUCCAGUCCCUCUGUUUUGACAUCUCCAGGCUGAAUGCCACGGCUGAGCUAAUGGCGUGAAAUGCCUUCUGUUGGCAGGUUUCUGGACAACAAAGCUGCUGGGACAAAUUUGAGUGCAACACCAUCAAAAGCGGGCAGGUUCACGAGGAGCUGUCUGUGCGUCUGGCUCCAUUCAUUUGGUAAUAUGUGCUCAAAUGUUGAGCGCUGUUUUUGAUUGGUUCUCUUGGUAGGAUUUGCUCUGCCUCUCGUCUGCCAGUGAAACCAGUGCACAUUUCUUUAAGCAAAUGUGUUGUUGU